AUUAAUCAACAAUCGUGUUAAAUGCAUAACUAUAAAAAUGUGCAGUUGCAUUAACCCUUUAUUCUAUCAUCGUGUCCUUGUCUGCACCUAUCUAUGAAACUGACAUGUAUUUCUCAUGUUUAGCGUGUACUUUUGUUAAUGGAAGCACAUUAAACAAGAAAUUUUGACAUUUUCAUUACAUUAUCAAAAAGUUUACUCAUUUUCUCCAACUUCCUAUGAAUUGCUAUUUUCUCUAUAUCUUUAUAAAUUGUUUCUAGUAUUACUGG
rnacentral:lncRNA from 1 species